UACGUAGGGUGCGAGCGUUAAUCGGAUUUACUGGGCGUAAAGCGAGCGCAGGUGGUUUAAUAAGUCUGAUGUAAAAGGCAGUGGCUCAACCAUUGUGUGCAUUGGAAACUGUUAGACUUGAGUGCAGUAGAGGAGAGUGGAAUUCCAUGUGUAGCGGUGAAAUGCGUAGAUAUAUGGAGGAACACCGGUGGCGAAAGCGGCUCUCUGGACUGUAACUGACACUGAGGCACGAAAGCGUGGGGAGCAAACAGG
rnacentral:rRNA from 1 species